rnacentral:rRNA from 1 species
CAGCAGUGGGGAAUAUUGCACAAUGGGCGCAAGCCUGAUGCAGCCAUGCCGCGUGUAUGAAGAAGGCCUUCGGGUUGUAAAGUACUUUCAGCAGUGAGGAAGGUGGAUAUGUUAAUAGCAUAUUCAUUUGACGUUAGCUGCAGAAGAAGCACCGGCUAACUCCGUGCCAGCAGCCGCGGUAAUACGGAGGGUGCGAGCGUUAAUCGGAAUUACUGGGCGUAAAGCGCAUGCAGGUGGUUUGUUAAGUCAGAUGUGAAAGCCCGGGGCUCAACCUACGGAAUUGCUAUUUAGAAACUGGACAAACUAGAGUACUGUAGAGGGGGUAGAAUUUCAGGUGUAGCGGUGAAAUGCGUAGAGAUCUGAAGGAAUACCGGUGGCGAAGGCGGCCCCCUGGACAGAUACUGACACUCAGAUGCGAAAGCGUGGGGAGCAAACAGGAUUAGAUACCCUGGUAG